rfam:Triticum aestivum genome assembly, contig: Triticum_aestivum_CS42_TGACv1_scaffold_363557_4DS
GUAGUACUCCCUCUGUCCCAAAAUUCUUGUAUUUGAUUUGUCUAGAUACGGAUGUACCUAACACUAAAACGUGACUUGAUACAUCCAUAUUUAGACAAAUCUAAGACAAGAAUUUUGGGAUGGAGGGAGUAGUAA